GCCCGCCGCGCGCUUCCUCAGCCGCCCGCGACGUCAGGAGGCCCCGACUCGCCUGCCCGCGGCCUCCCUUUGGUUUGUACCUCCUCACGGAGGCGAUGAAAUCCGUUUGGGGUCAGCUACAGGGCAGCGCUUUCGGGCCUCCCGCAGGUCCACCUCCUCUGCCGGCGUCUGUCGAGUGUUCUGCGCUGAAGGAGCUUUUCCUGCCAGAAAACCAAGUUCCUGUCCUCUUUGGGGGCAUAUGUGGAAUGUCGUCCUCCUGGAGAGUCACCGGGACAGGCUGUGCCGGGGUUUCCACCCCCGGUCACCACAUGGCCCUGGUCUCUGUGCACUUUCUGGCGCGCCCAGUCCACCUUGGCUUAGCUGACUCUUCAUCUGGAUUCCGGGGAACUGCCAGGCGGCCAGAGGCUGAGGGCACAAGCAUGGGAAUCAUCCACUGGUCAGCCUCCAGGUGGGUGCACGGCAACGUUCAGUAGCAGCUCCCCAAUUACAGGAUGCCACCAACACUUUGAUUUCACAGUGUUUUUUUUUUUUUUUUAAUUAAGGCUAUUACUUCUUAGAAGAGUUGAGAUGUAUGGGUUGCCUCAGAGGAUAGUAGAGUUCUCUCACAGCUGUGCUCUGUUCUCCCUCACAGGAUUUCUUCCUUCUUUGGACCUUGCCCGAGGAUGGUACAGAGGAGGGGGCUAUCCCAUGGACAGGAAAGGGAUGUUCCCCCAAUGAGGCUUAUCCAUCCCCCUCUAGAUGCACUGAACCCUGGGAUUUCUCCACAGGGUGUAGAGUCGAAUGCACAGUUUGUGGUAGAGGAGGACUGUGUUUGUGCUUCUCCCCGACAACUCAUGGUCAAUCUCAGACCAUUUGGAUAUAUUCAGUAGUUUGGGUAAACUCUUGGAGGGCAUUUCGUAGAUGCAUUUUCUGAGACGGGAAACCUUCUUGUUCCCCUUCUUAGUGGCUUUGGCGGGGUAGGGGGAAGCUAUAUUCCUUUCAUGCGCCAGACUGAAUUGUCACCCAUCAGGGUUUCAGUAGUUCAAGGCCCUAAUCAACCCACCAAGGCCACUUUCUUUCAGCUCAGUCCCAGUCCCCAUGUUACUGUGGGAAGGAGUGUCCCCCAGUCACUCUCUCCUGCAGAAACUCCACCAGAGAUCUGGGACUCAGGGAGCCUGUGUGGCCAGGUGACGGCCUCUCCCAGCCCAACGAGAACGCAAGUACCUGGUAUCUCCCCUGGCUUCCCCUACUUUACUUUCUCUUCUGUGAUACUCAGG
rnacentral:lncRNA from 9 species